UAGUUGCAAAGACGAUCUGUGUACAAGGGAAUGCGUGUAUUUGUUAGUUGCAAAGACGAUCUGUGUACAAGGGAAUGCGUGUAUUUGUUAGUUGCAAAGACGAUCUGUGUACAAGGGAAUGCGUGUAUGUGUUAGUUGCAAAGACGCUUAUAGGAUAUGAUACGGUGACGUCAUAACAUUCUUUUGGCGGUGAAUUUUUCAAAAUGGCGGACGAGCCAGUGGGUCCAUGUAAUGCGUUCCGCUUUCUAGGGUCAUUUUUUGCCUUUUUAGGGUAGAAAUCACGCCUAAAGUGACGAGAUAAAGCGGUCCUGGCUUCACUAGCAACCUGUGCGAUGAAGUUCUCUUGUGAGAAAACCAUCCCUGGCCUCAUGGGUGGCGUGUACCAUGCAGAUUCCUCAUUCCUGUGAGAAAGCGACGCUGGCAGCAUGGCCAAGCUUCGUAAUGCAGGCGCAGCCACUCAGUGUCCUUUCGGAAGAUGCGAUCCUGAUUGCUUUGCAGGCCGUGGCAGACAGAUUUCCUGUGAAAAAGCGACGCUGCCAGCAUGGCCAAGCUUCGUAAUGCAGGCGCAGCCACUCAGUGUCCUUUUGGAAGAUGCGAUCCUGAUUGCUUUGCAGGCCGUGGCAGACAGAUUUCCUGUGUAAAAGCGACGCUGCCAGCAUGGCCAAGCUUCGUAAUGCAGGUGCUGCCAUACUAAUUUCUGUGAGGAAUGCAAACCAGGCUUCGCGGGCAAAAAUUGAAUUAAAAUAAUUUUGAAAAUAUUUAUUAUUAAAUUAAUUAAUUAGAGCUGAAGAUAUUUGUGCUCAGAGAAAAUAUCUUGGCAUCAUGAAUAUAUCUGCGGCUAAAUACAAAACGGGGAUGGGCACGAAAUUCAAAGAGGAAAAUAUUUGCCUGUUGUUUUUCUAUUACCAAGCCGCCUGUGAACUGAGAACACUUUUGGCCCCCUCUCGGUCACUGGAGUCGCCAUAUUUUUCUACGACUGCUGCGCCAAUUGAAUAGAAAUGUCAAUUUUCGUUUUUAACCACCUAUGGUCUCCCUAUUCCACUGGAGUUGUUUUUUAUUUCAACUAAAG